AGCUUACUGUCCGGUGCGUAGUUCCGCAGAUCUUCCGAGCCUCAAGUUUUUUUCGGGAGCUGUCCCUGCCCUGAUCGUGGUCUUGGUAUAUGGCACCCACCUAUUGAGAUGCGGUUCGUGUAAGAAUGUAUUUAUACGGCCGGACGGUUCUCUC
rnacentral:other from 1 species